AGCGGAGCGUGUGGUUUAAUUCGAUGCUACACGAAGAACCUUACCAGGGUUUGACAUGCAAGUGGUAGGAACCGAAAGGUGACCGACCCUUCGGGGAGCUUGCACAGGUUGGCUGCAUGGCUGUCGUCAGCUCGUGUCGUGAGAUGUUCGGUUAAGUCCGCUAACGAGCGCAACCCUCGCUGUGUGUUAUAUGUGUCACACGGGACUGCCGGUCUUAAGCCGGAGGAAGUGGGGAUGAUGUCAAGUCAGCAUGGCCUUUAUAUCCUGGGCUACACACACGCUACAAUGGCCAGCACAGUAGGUUGCUAAGCCGCGAGGUGGAGCCAAUCCAUAAAGCUGGUCUCAGUUCAGAUUGCAGGCUGCAACCCGCCUGCAUGAAGAUGGAGUUGCUAGUAACCGCAGGUCAGCUAUACUGCGGUGAAUACGUUCCCGGGGCUU
rnacentral:rRNA from 1 species